rnacentral:rRNA from 1 species
UACGUAGGGGGCAAGCGUUAUCCGGAAUUACUGGGUGCAAAGGGAGCGUAGACGGUGAUGUAAGUCUGGAGUGAAAGGCGGGGGCCCAACCCCCGGACUGCUCUGGAAACUAUGUGACUGGAGUGCAGGAGAGGUGAGCGGAAUUCCUAGUGUAGCGGUGAAAUGCGUAGAUAUUAGGAGGAACACCAGUGGCGAAGGCGGCUCACUGGACUGUAACUGACGUUGAGGCUCGAAAGCGUGGGGAGCAAACAGG